rnacentral:rRNA from 1 species
AGAGUUUGAUCAUGGCUCAGAUUGAACGCUGGCGGCAGGCCUAACACAUGCAAGUCGAGCGGUAGCACAGAGAGCUUGCUCUCGGGUGACGAGCGGCGGACGGGUGAGUAAUGUCUGGGAAACUGCCUGAUGGAGGGGGAUAACUACUGGAAACGGUAGCUAAUACCGCAUAAUGUCGCAAGACCAAAGUGGGGGACCUUCGGGCCUCAUGCCAUCAGAUGUGCCCAGAUGGGAUUAGCUUGUAGGUGGGGUAACGGCUCACCUAGGCGACGAUCCCUAGCUGGUCUGAGAGGAUGACCAGCCACACUGGAACUGAGACACGGUCCAGACUCCUACGGGAGGCAGCAGUGGGGAAUAUUGCACAAAUGGGCGCAAGCCUGAUGCAGCCAUGCCGCGUGUGUGAAGAAGGCCUUCGGGUUGUAAAGCACUUUCAGCGGGGAGGAAGGCGGUGAGGUUAAUAACCUCAUCGAUUGACGUUACCCGCAGAAGAAGCACCGGCUAACUCCGUGCCAGCAGCCGCGGUAAUACGGAGGGUGCAAGCGUUAAUCGGAAUUACUGGGCGUAAAGCGCACGCAGGCGGUCUGUCAAGUCGGAUGUGAAAUCCCCGGGCUCAACCUGGGAACUGCAUUCGAAACUGGCAGGCUAGAGUCUUGUAGAGGGGGGUAGAAUUCCAGGUGUAGCGGUGAAAUGCGUAGAGAUCUGGAGGAAUACCGGUGGCGAAGGCGGCCCCCUGGACAAAGACUGACGCUCAGGUGCGAAAGCGUGGGGAGCAAACAGGAUUAGAUACCCUGGUAGUCCACGCCGUAAACGAUGUCGAUUUGGAGGUUGUGCCCUUGAGGCGUGGCUUCCGGAGCUAACGCGUUAAAUCGACCGCCUGGGGAGUACGGCCGCAAGGUUAAAACUCAAAUGAAUUGACGGGGGCCCGCACAAGCGGUGGAGCAUGUGGUUUAAUUCGAUGCAACGCGAAGAACCUUACCUGGUCUUGACAUCCACAGAACUUAGCAGAGAUGCUUUGGUGCCUUCGGGAACUGUGAGACAGGUGCUGCAUGGCUGUCGUCAGCUCGUGUUGUGAAAUGUUGGGUUAAGUCCCGCAACGAGCGCAACCCUUAUCCUUUGUUGCCAGCGGUCCGGCCGGGAACUCAAAGGAGACUGCCAGUGAUAAACUGGAGGAAGGUGGGGAUGACGUCAAGUCAUCAUGGCCCUUACGACCAGGGCUACACACGUGCUACAAUGGCAUAUACAAAGAGAAGCGACCUCGCGAGAGCAAGCGGACCUCAUAAAGUAUGUCGUAGUCCGGAUUGGAGUCUGCAACUCGACUCCAUGAAGUCGGAAUCGCUAGUAAUCGUAGAUCAGAAUGCUACGGUGAAUACGUUCCCGGGCCUUGUACACACCGCCCGUCACACCAUGGGAGUGGGUUGCAAAAGAAGUAGGUAGCUUAACCUUCGGGAGGGCGCUUACCACUUUGUGAUUCAUGACUGGGGUGAAGUCGUAACAAGGUAACCGUAGGGGAACCUGCGGUUGGAUCACCU